AAUACCACCCUUUAAUGUUUGAUGUUCUAACGUGGACCCGUAAUCCGGGUUGCGGACAGUGUCUGGUGGGUAGUUUGACUGGGGCGGUCUCCUCCUAAAGAGUAACGGAGGAGCACGAAGGUUGGCUAAUCCUGGUCGGACAUCAGGAGGUUAGUGCAAUGGCAUAAGCCAGCUUGACUGCGAGCGUGACGGCGCGAGCAGGUGCGAAAGCAGGUCAUAGUGAUCCGGUGGUUCUGAAUGGAAGGGCCAUCGCUCAACGGAUAAAAGGUACUCCGGGGAUAACAGGCUGAUACCGCCCAAGAGUUCAUAUCGACGGCGGUGUUUGGCACCUCGAUGUCGGCUCAUCACAUCCUGGGGCUGAAGUAGGUCCCAAGGGUAUGGCUGUUCGCCAUUUAAAGUGGUACGCGAGCUGGGUUUAGAACGUCGUGAGACAGUUCGGUCCCUAUCUGCCGUGGGCGCUGGAGAAUUGAGGGGGGCUGCUCCUAGUACGAGAGGACCGGAGUGGACGCAUCACUGGUGUUCGGGUUGUCAUGCCAAUGGCACUGCCCGGUAGCUAAAUGCGGAAGAGAUAAGUGCUGAAAGCAUCUAAGCACGAAACUUGCCCCGAGAUGAGUUCUCCCUGACUCCUUGAGAGUCCUGAAGGAACGUUGAAGACGACGACGUUGAUAGGCCGGGUGUGUAAGCGCAGCGAUGCGUUGAGCUAACCGGUACUAAUGAACCGUGAGGCUUAACCUUACAACGCCGAAG
rnacentral:rRNA from 1 species